rnacentral:rRNA from 1 species
CAGUCGCCGCGGGAAUACGAAGGGUGCAAGCGUUAAUCGGAAUUACUGGGCGUAAAGCGUGCGUAGGCGGUGAGUUAAGUCUGCUGUGAAAUCCCCGGGCUCAACCUGGGAAUGGCAGUGGAUACUGGCUCGCUAGAGUGUGUCAGAGGAUGGUGGAAUUCCCGGUGUAGCGGUGAAAUGCGUAGAGAUCGGGAGGAACAUCAGUGGCGAAGGCGGCCAUCUGGGACAACACUGACGCUGAGGCACGAAAGCGUGGGGAGCAAACAGGAUUAGAUACCCGAGUAGUCCCUGUCUCUUAUCC